rnacentral:tRNA from 1 species
GCCCGGGUAGCUCAGUUGGCUAGAGCGUGGGACUUUUACGACUUGCUCCAAGUAAGAUCCGACAUCCCAAUGUCGAGGGUUCGAGCCCCUCUUCGGGCG